GUACUUACUUCUUCAGCACUUAUACUGAACUCAUAACCAUACAAAGAAUAUCAGAGUAGUCCCAUCUUAAGGAUGGUCUGCAAAUUUGGGAAGCAUUCCAUAGUUUU
rnacentral:snRNA from 1 species